GCGGGGAUAGCUCAACAUUCAGAGCGUCGGGGUCCCUCCCGAAAGGUGCCGGUGCGAAUCCGGCUCCCCGCU
rnacentral:tRNA from 1 species